rnacentral:rRNA from 1 species
ACACGUAAACAACCUGCCUUCAGGAUGGGGACAACAGACGGAAACGACUGCUAAUACCGAAUAAGUUCCAAGAGCCGCAUGGCCCAUGGAAGAAAAGGUGGCCUCUACCUGUAAGCUGUCGCCUGAAGAGGGGUUUGCGUCUGAUUAGCUGGUUGGAGGGGUAACGGCCCACCAAGGCGACGAUCAGUAGCCGGUCUGAGAGGAUGAACGGCCACACUGGAACUGAGACACGGUCCAGACUCCUACGGGAGGCAGCAUG